UUGUUCUUUCUGCUUCUGUCUACCAGUGACUUCGGGUCGCCCCUAACGCGACGCUUCAACGCGUGUAACGAGUCUACGCGCCUAUACCAAUGGGUCCCUAUGCAAAAAUGCCAAUAGUAUCUGUCUGCGUCCUGCAAGACGGAGGCGUAACUUGUAGUAGGAGGCGUAACUUGUUCUUUUCUAAAUCGCGGUCCACGCGAGAUCUUUCUCUUUGGCGGUAAACAAAAAGCGUUGCAAAUCACGGUUCACACGAGAUCUUCAUUGAAGUCGGGUCUUCCGAUAUUCAUGACGGUCCCAUGGGGGUCGACCGGAAAAGGCGGGACUUCGCCACUCUGUUGCCCUUAAGCGCAUCAAACCAGGAAAUUACGUCAUGUUCGCGCGUAAAACCAACUCGGGCGGGCCGUGUACUCGAAUGCGGCAUACAAGCAAAGAUGGCUGCGCCCAUAUUGGACGUCUUCCUCAACCAGAGCAUGGUUGCGUUCCUUGACAAGGACAGAACUGUGCCUUACCAGCCCACGGACGGCUGCAUUGGGGAUGAGGGCACCGGGAUGGCUACCAACCUACACCCUGCAGAUUGCUCUUGCACGGAUACCUGCAAUAUCAAGCCAACUGCACCACUGCCGGUGAAUGAGGGUUUUACCAAAGCUCAGACACACUUCCUCAUCCACCUGAUGAAGGUCCACCUUGAGGUAGAGGGCGGGAUACCUGUAAAGUCCCUCGAUGACCUCAACAGGCGGCUGAGGCUGGGCAAGAAGCCAAAGAAGCUGCUGUGGGAGGAGAUGACUGGGAAGCUUGCCGGACAGUUCAAGGAGGACUUCCAGACCGACAAGGUGGCGCGCAAGUGGUUGACGCUGGUGGAGAGAUAUGAGAAAGUCAAGCAGAAGAACGUGUUGAAAGAAAAGAGGCCUUUCCGCUUCCAAUUCUACAGGGAGAUGGACGAGCUGCUUGGGGGAGACAAUGACGUGGAGCCACCCGGUGUGAAGAGCGAUUGUGCUGGAGUGGUGACAGGCAUACCCGGUGCACUGAGGCAGUCCAACGGUGCUCCCUCACCAGCGUUAUCAGACGGGGCUCCCUCAGCUGGGCCUUCCAGCACCACAGUGUUGCCACCUCCGGGUCGAGCCCCCACCGUACCCUCUGACACCCUGAGGUUGCGGAACCGGAAGAGGAUGAAUGACCUGAGGGACAUGACGGAGGAUUACCUCUUGGCCUAUCUUGAGAGGUCAGAUGCUGCUGCCACGGCUGCUUCCCAGAGGCGGCACGAAGACACCCUGAGCGAGAUGAGGGCGCUGAGGGAGGAUCAGAGGGAGCUCCUCCAGUUGUUCAGCAGGAUGGUGGACAAGAUGUGA
rnacentral:lncRNA from 1 species